AGUGAACGCUGGCGGUAGGCCUAACACAUGCAAGUCGAACGGCAGCACAGGAGAGCUUGCUCUCUGGGUGGCGAGUGGCGGACGGGUGAGGAAUACAUCGGAAUCUACCUUUUCGUGGGGGAUAACGUAGGGAAACUUACGCCAAUACCGCAUACGACCUACGGGUGAAAGUGGGGGACCGCAAGGCCUCACGCGAUUAGAUGAGCCGAUGUCCGAUUAGCUAGUUGGCGGGGUAAUGGCCCACCAAGGCGACGAUCGGUAGCUGGUCUGAGAGAAUGAUCAGCAACACUGGAACUGAGACACGGUCCAGACUCCUACGGGAGGCAGCAGUGGGGAAUAUUGGACAAUGGGCGCAAGCCUGAUCCAGCCAUACCGCGUGGGUGAAGAAGGCCUUCGGGUUGUAAAGCCCUUUUGUUGGGAAAGAAAUCCUAUCGGUUAAUAACCGGUGGGAUGACGGUACCCAAAGAAUAAGCACCGGCUAACUUCGUGCCAGCCGCCGCCGUAA
rnacentral:rRNA from 1 species